rnacentral:rRNA from 1 species
AUGCGCCAGCCGCCCGGGUUUGUUGAUCCAGAUCAGCCUCAUCAUCUCUGUCGUCUGACCAAUGCGCUCUACGGACUGAAACAGGCACCUCGUGCCUGGCAUGCUCGUCUUGCUUUGGCCCUUCGUACUCAUGGAUUCGUUCCGUCGAUAGCUGACAGUUCACUGUUCUUGUUUCAGCGCCCUAGUCUGACUGUGUAUUUGCUUGUGUACGUGGAUGAUAUCAUUCUGGUCAGUUCUUCUGCCACGACUGCUGAUGCUCUUGUGACUGCUCUUGGCAGAGAUUUUGCGGUUAAAGACUUGGGACAGCUACACUUCUUUCUGGGCAUUGAGGUUGCACAUCAGUCUUCUGGCAGCUUGGCUCUCACUCAGAAAAAGUACUCCCUUGAUCUCUUGCGCCGUGCUGGUAUGCUCAAGUGUAAGCCGUCAUCCACGCGCAUGUCCUCUACGGAUAAGCUCUCGGCCACUGCUGGGUCUCCUCUUUCUUCUACGGAUGCUACGGAGUACCGGAGUAUUGUUGGUGGCUUGCAGUAUCUGACUAUCACCCGUCCUGACCUUUCAUUUGCGGUUAACAGGGUAUGUCAGUAUCUUCAUGCUCCUACAGAUGUGCAUUGGUCUGCUGUGAAGCGCAUUCUUCGUUAUGUGCAUCUCACUGUCUUCUAUGGUCUUCAUCUGCGACCUAGUUCCUCUACGGUUCUCUCUGCAUUCUCAGAUGCUGAUUGGCUGGGUGUCCAGAUGACAGGCGAUCCACGGGGGGACAUGCUGUAUUUUUGGGUCCUAAUUUGA